rnacentral:rRNA from 1 species
GCCUACGGGUGGCAGCAGUGGGGAAUAUUGGACAAUGGGCGAAAGCCUGAUCCAGCAAUGCCGCGUGAGUGAUGAAGGCCUUAGGGUUGUAAAGCUCUUUUACCCGGGAUGAUAAUGACAGUACCGGGAGAAUAAGCUCCGGCUAACUCCGUGCCAGCAGCCGCGGUAAUACGGAGGGAGCUAGCGUUGUUCGGAAUUACUGGGCGUAAAGCGCACGUAGGCGGCUUUGUAAGUUAGAGGUGAAAGCCUGGAGCUCAACUCCAGAAUUGCCUUUAAGACUGCAUCGCUUGAAUCCGGGAGAGGUGAGUGGAAUUCCGAGUGUAGAGGUGAAAUUCGUAGAUAUUCGGAAGAACACCAGUGGCGAAGGCGGCUCACUGGACCGGCAUUGACGCUGAGGUGCGAAAGCGUGGGGAGCAAACAGGAUUAGAUACCCUAGUAGUCAA